GACACGGUCAGGGUGUAGCGGUGGCUGUUCAAGCUGAGAGAGAUCAUCAACGACACGGUCAGGGUGUAGCGGUGGCUGUGCAAGCUGAGAGAGAUCAUCAACGACACGGUCAGGGUGUAGCGGUGACUGUUCAAGCUGAGAGAGAUCAUCAACGACACGGUCAGGGUGCAGCGGUGGCGGCUGUUCAAGCUGAGAGAGAUCAUCAACGACACGGUCAGGGUGUAGCGGUGACUGUUCAAGCUGAGAGAGAUCAUCAACGACACGGUCAGGGUGUAGCGGUGGCGGCUGUUCAAGCUGAGAGAGAUCAUCAACGACACGGUCAGGGUGUAGCGGUGGCUGUUCAAGCUGAGAGAGAUCAUCAACGACACGGUCAGGGUGUAGCGGUGGCGGCUGUUCAAGCUGAGAGAGAUCAUCAACGACACGGUCAGGGUGUAGCGGUGGCUGUGCAAGCUGAGAGAGAUCAUCAACGUAACAACAGGUCAGGGUUUGGUGGCAGCCGCAGCAAGGCCUGAGCGUGCGUGAGUCGUGAGGUGCAGACAACAGUGUGCAUGCCAACUCGUGUGCGUGAACUGCGACUCGGUUUAUUCUUCGCUAGUGGAUCCACAGUCGGGUAUUGCAGCACGAGGGGAGGAAGUCAGCCAUGUACAGGUUGACGGGUGCGCCGGGUUGAAAUGUGGCCUCGCGCGUGGAAUGUGCGACGUGGUGUAUAUCCGAUUAUCGACUCCUAUCAUCGAACGAGUUUAUUUGGAGAAAUUAUUACUUGAUGAAGUCAUGCGACAUGACCUGAUCCGGGUUAAUUAAUUAUAACAUGAGACAGCAGCUGGUGUCGCUGUAAAAUCAACCGAUGCUUUACGUGAAUACUGUUUAGGUGUAACCACAGCAACGACAAAUAAGUUGAGCAGCCUCAUGUGUAGCCAGCUCAUGUUGUAGAUGAUCGUACGAUUGGUCGACUGUUUAGAAACUUAUGUAAUCGAGGGAGUUAUACGAGUGUGAUCUGUGUACUGCUUUUUAAAUUUAAAAUCAAGAGUGAAUCCAACAAUCAUGUAAUAUGCACACUCAAAUAUAUGGCUGCUUUUGUAUCUCUCUAGUUAGCAUUCUGUGACAACAUAUAAGCAUGGCUGAAAUUUUUUCUAGUACGAUUCAUUAUUAAGCUGACUGUGUGUCAUAUGACCCUGUUCGAAUGGUGCUUGUAGAUGUGUACUUGAAUUAUGUUGACAACGAUUUCAUUAUUUAGCCGAGUCUUUUUACUCUGCUAGCGACGUGCUUAAACAUGUUGAAUGUAAAAUUGUUCAGCAAAAUGGCAGUGAUAUGUUUGUAACCGUAAAAGGAUAUCCUGUGACUUUCAAAACCGGGUUCAUUGUUUUCACAUGAUUUUUUUUAGUCAAUAUUUUAAACGCAUGUCAAACAACGUGAUAUAAACAGCAUGUUUUGUACAUAUACGAGCAUAAUAUAUAAUAUGAGAUGAUCACUAAAAGCGAA